GAUGAAGAACGUAGCGAAAUGCGAUAAGUAGUGUGAAUUGCAGAAUUCAGUGAAUCAUCGAAUCUUUGAACGCACAUUGCGCCCCUUGGUAUUCCAUGCGGCAUGCCUGUUCGAGCGUCAUUUGUACCUUCAAGCUUUGCUUGGUGUUGGGUGUUUGUCUCGCCUUUGCGUGUAGACUCGCCUUAAAAUAAUUGGCAGCCGGCGUAUUGAUUUCGGAGCGCAGUACAUCUCGCGCUUUGCACUCAUAACGACAGCGUCCAAAAGUACAUUUUACACUCUUGACCUCGGAUCAGGUAGGGAUACCCGCUGAACUUAAGCAUAUCAAUAAGCGGAGGA
rnacentral:misc_RNA from 1 species